AUGGAUAUGAUGGUGAAAUGGCUCCCUCCGGUUCAAAUAUUGAGCAGCAAGCCUUUGACGGUAUUAAUACAUCGGCCGCGAUUGAUCCAGACAUUGCAGCCGAUGGUACUUCACCAUGUUAAACAGCCAAUUAAACAAAUACGGAAAGGCCUUAAACAAACAGGAAUCUGGCCACUUCUUUUAGAUAGGCCAGAUGUCCACCCCUUAAUUUUCCCAAGGGAGUCAAGUGAGGAGCUUAACCCACAGGUAAACACGAUUCACACUACAUGAUUUUUAGCCUGAUUUGCUGCUCGGCGACUGUCAGGCUGUGAUCGGGAGUAAAUCAGUGAUCGAUCGGCGGUCACCAUUCGUUAUGUGUGAACUACUCAACUCAUCAAAACGGUGCCCCGACACAUCGCCGACACCAGCCAGAUAUCUAGCAUGAGAAAUGGCCGACUCGACAUCCAGCCAAUUUAGCCAUUUAUUAUUCAGCCAUUUAUGAUUUUAUUUUUGCAAAGACUGUGUGUAGUUUUGUUUGGUGUCACGGGGGGGUGUACAUCUAAAAUGAAUGGUUUAUUUUAGUCAUAUGUUAAAGUUGUUACUUAUGUGACAGAAAUAGAUUGUUCAUUCAUAAAAAGAUCACUCAAAUUUUGAAAUCACUUUGCAACAUUUAAUUAAAGUUUAAAUCCUGACAUAAAAUAUGCUUAUAUUUGAUCCCUUGUAGACCGUGAUCCAGAGCAUUACCUGGCCACAACCCAAUGUUGACAGCGACAAGGAUGAGGACGACACUGUUCCAUUGGAGAAAAUCAGUCUUGUCACUGGAUUUUUGAGAAAAUUCAUAGAGGAAGGUAAUACUGUAAAUGGUUUUUAUUUCCUUAUUUUUCAUUCUCAUCUUAAUUUACACAUAAUUGUUUCCUCAUAACAAUCCCAGUUGCUACAAUAAUAAAGUGGUUCUUCAUAUUUACCACGUUUUAUGUGCAUUUUGUGUUUCAUUUCAUCUCAGUGUGAGCUGGUUUACUGUUUUAUUGUCAAAUGGUUAUGUUUCUCUCCCUCCUCCUUUCUGUCCUCUGCUGUGUGCUUUACAACAGCACAGGGAAAGGAGAAGACAUAAAUGUGAAUGUUUGACAGAAACAGUAAAGCCCAGCUAACACUGAGAUGAAAUGAAACACAAAUGCACAUACAAUUGCUAAAUUAAACUUCAUACUUUGUUUACAUUCCACUGUAUUUAAAGCAGCAUUUAAAGUAAACCUUUUGACGUUCUAAACUAGGAGAGGAAAAGAGACUACAGGGAUUUUACUUUUGUAAAGUUUGUACUGUUUAAGUUCAGCACUGUG
ensembl:lncRNA